rnacentral:rRNA from 1 species
GAUGAACGCUGGCGGCGUGCCUAAUACAUGCAAGUCGAGCGAACAGACGAGGAGCUUGCUCCUCUGACGUUAGCGGCGGACGGGUGAGUAACACGUGGAUAACCUACCUAUAAGACUGGGAUAACUUCGGGAAACCGGAGCUAAUACCGGAUAAUAUAUUGAACCGCAUGGGUCAAUAGUGAAAGACGGUUUUGCUGUCACUUAUAGAUGGAUCCGCGCCGCAUUAGCUAGUUGGUAAGGUAACGGCUUACCAAGGCGACGAUGCGUAGCCGACCUGAGAGGCUGAUCGGCCACACUGGAACUGAGACACGGUCCAGACACCUACGGGAGGCAGCAGUAGGGAAUCGUCCGCAAUGGGCGAAAGCCUGACGGAGCAACGCCGCGUGAGUGAUGAAGGUCUUCGGAUCGUAAAACUCUGUUAUUAGGGAAGAACAAAUGUGUAAGUAACUAUGCACGUCUUGACGGUACCUAAUCAGAAAGCCACGGCUAACUACGUG